rnacentral:rRNA from 1 species
UUGACCUCGGAUCAGGUAGGAAUACCCCGCUGAACUUAAGCAUAUCAAUAAGCGGAGGAAA